rnacentral:rRNA from 1 species
AUUGAACGCUGGCGGCAUGCCUUACACAUGCAAGUCGAACGGUAACGCGGGGCAACCUGGCGACGAGUGGCGAACGGGUGAGUAAUGCAUCGGAACGUGCCCAGAAGUGGGGGAUAGCCCGGCGAAAGCCGGAUUAAUACCGCAUGAGACCUGAGGGUGAAAGCGGGGGAUCGCAAGACCUCGCGCCUUUGGAGCGGCCGAUGUCAGAUUAGCUAGUUGGUGGGGUAAAGGCCUACCAAGGCGACGAUCUGUAGCUGGUCUGAGAGGACGACCAGCCACACUGGGACUGAGACACGGCCCAGACUCCUACGGGAGGCAGCAGUGGGGAAUUUUGGACAAUGGGCGCAAGCCUGAUCCAGCCAUGCCGCGUGCGGGAAGAAGGCCUUCGGGUUGUAAACCGCUUUUGUCAGGGAAGAAACGCUCUGGGCUAAUACCCUGGGGUAAUGACGGUACCUGAAGAAUAAGCACCGGCUAACUACGUG